AUGAACGAUUAUGUUUCGUGUUUGCCGGUCUGGUUUUGGAUUUGGAUUACGGAGACGGGGAGAGGUCAAAACAAGGUUGUAGUGAUUAGGGAGAAGCUUGCAGAACCGUAUGAAUUUGAACAACAAUGGUCGAGAGCAGUACAAAUGCUUAGUGGCAUUGACUUGGACUCAGGAAUAAGAUUGCAUGACUAUUUGGAGGAUGAUGAUGCAGUGAAUGUUGAAGCUUUUAUCAACAAAGCCUCAUUUUUUGUCACAAACAGCAACCAGGAAGUUCUGAACUUGUAA
rnacentral:rRNA from 1 species